CUUCGGCCCGAGUUGUAAUUUGCAGAGGAUGUUUAUGGUGCAGUACUUUCCGAGUUCCCUGGAACGGGACGCCACAGAGGGUGAGAGCCCCGUCUGGUUGGAUACUAAACCUGUGUUAAACUCCUUCAACGAGUCGAGUAGUUUGGGAAUGCUGCUCUAAAUGGGAGGUAAAUCUCUUCUAAAGCUAAAUACUGGCCAGAGACCGAUAGCGCACAAGUAGAGUGAUCGAAAGAUGAAAAGCACCUUGAAAAGGGGGUUAAACAGUACGUGAAAUUGUUGAAAGGGAAGCGUUUAUGACCAGACUUGUGUCGUGUGGCUCAUCCGAGGUUCUCCCCGGUGCACUCCACGCGGCUCAGGCCAACAUCGGUUCUUGUUGGGGGAUAAGAACAGUAGGAACGUAGCUCUCUUUCGGGGGAGUGUUAUAGCCUGCUGUACGAUACUCUGACGGGGACCGAGGACCGCGCUUCGGCUAGGAUGUUGGCGUAAUGGUCAUUAGCGACCCGUCUUGAAACACGGACCAAGGAGUCGUCCAUUAGAGCGAGCGUUUGGGUGUAAAACCCGCACGCGUAAUGAAAGUGAAAUUAGGUGAGAGCUUCGGCGCAUCAUCGACCGAUCCUGAAGUUUACGGAUGGAUUUGAGUAAGAGUUUUAACGGACGGACCCGAAAGACAGUGAACUAUGCUUGAAUAGGGUGAAGCCAGAGGAAACUCUGGUGGAGGCUCGCAGCGGUUCUGACGUGCAAAUCGAUCGUCAAAUUUGAGCAUGGGGGCGAAAGACUAAUCGAACUGUCUAGUAGC
rnacentral:rRNA from 1 species